AAGAUCCUGCGUGAUUCGUGGACCGUGCUUAUAUAACCCUACAACUUAUUUUUCGGGAGCUUUGUCUCCGCUGGCGGAUUGCAGACCUCCCAGCCUUAGCUGGACGAAGGGAGCGUGAAACCAGAGGGCGGGCACCCACCUGUCUUUUGGUAGGCAGGUUAUUGAUAGCACAUUACGGUCAGGCGGGAUUCUU
rnacentral:other from 3 species